rnacentral:SRP_RNA from 1 species
CCGUGCUAGGUGGGGAGGUAGCGGUGCCCUGUACUCGCAAUCCGCUAUAGCGAGGCUGAAUUACCUUGCUGAGGUGCCAUUACUUUAGGGUCUGCCUUAAGGGAGUAGUGUUGACACUCGGGUCCUGCGCAACAGGAACUCGUGAACCAUGUCAGGUCCGGAAGGAAGCAGCAUUAAGCGAAUUCUCCUGUGUGCCGCAGGGAAGCCUGGGUCGAGCUAUCAACUUGAGUAACGCUUUAGGUAAUGUCAUCGAAGCUUGGUGCACGG